rnacentral:tRNA from 1 species
AUUUAUAUAGUAUAAAAAUUACAUUUAACUUCCAAUUAAAAAAUUUAAAAAUAUUUUAAUAUAAAUA